AUUGAACGCUGGCGGCAGGCUUAACACAUGCAAGUCGAGCGGAGAUGAGGUGCUUGCACCUUAUCUUAGCGGCGGACGGGUGAGUAAUGCUUAGGAAUCUGCCUAUUAGUGGGGGACAACAUUCCGAAAGGAAUGCUAAUACCGCAUACGUCCUACGGGAGAAAGCAGGGGAUCUUCGGACCUUGCGCUAAUAGAUGAGCCUAAGUCGGAUUAGAUCGUUGGGGGGGUAAAGGCCUACCAAGGCGACGAUCUGUAGGGGGUCUGAGAGGAUGAUCCGCCACACUGGGACUGAGACACGGCCCAGACUCCUACGGGAGGCAGCAGUGGGGAAUAUUGGACAAUGGGGGAAACCCUGAUCCAGCCAUGCCGCGUGUGUGAAGAAGGCCUUAUGGUUGUAAAGCACUUUAAGCGAGGAGGAGGCUACUGAGACUAAUACUCUUGGAUAGAGGACGUUACUCGCAGAAUAAGCACCGGCUAACUCUGUGCCAGCAGCCGCCGUAACAC
rnacentral:rRNA from 1 species